UACAGAGGGUGCGAGCGUUAAUCGGAAUUACUGGGCGUAAAGCGCGCGUAGGCGGCUUUGCAAGUCGGGUGUGAAAUCCCCAGGCUUAACCUGGGAACUGCAUUCGAGACUGCAUUGCUAGAGUAUGGGAGAGGGAAGUGGAAUUUCCGGUGUAGCGGUGAAAUGCGUAGAUAUCUGGAGGAACACCGGUGGCGAAGGCGGCAUCCUGGACCAAUAUUGACGCUGAGGAGCGAAAGCCAGGGGAGCAAACGGG
rnacentral:rRNA from 1 species